GAACUUUCGCCAACCCACAAUCUGGAGGCUUUGAGGUCAUUUGAAGGACACAUCAUUUCCAGCAACCCAUGAAAUAAUGUUUAGCUGUUGUGAUCUGUGAAUACUUGUUGAAUCAUCCUGCUUGCCUGUUUGAGAAAAAAGGCCCUUUGCAACAGAGCGUGGAACUUUCGCCAACCCACAAUCUGAAGGCUUUGAGGUCAUUUGAAGGACACGUCAUUUCCUGCACCCCAUGGAAUGAUGUACAACUGUUGUGAUCUGUGAAUACUUGUUGAAUCAUCCUGCUUGCCUGUUUUAGAAAGAAGGCCCUUUGCAACAGAGAGUGGAACUUUCGCCAACCCACAAUCUGGAGGCUUUGAGGUCAUUUGAAGGACACAUCAUUU